rnacentral:tRNA from 1 species
UCUCUGGUGGCUCAGAUGGUAAAGAAUCUGCCUGCAAUGCAGGAGACCCAGGUUCGAUCCCUGGGUUGGGAA